rnacentral:misc_RNA from 1 species
ACCAAGCCGUUUACGAUACUCGUACAGGGGGCGCUAAAACUAUUGUACUGGGUUUGCACAGAGAUGAAGAUGGUGGGAAGUUAACAAAAUUGGUGAAGGUCUGGGUCAAAAUAUCAAUUUUAACUGCAUAUUAAGAAAUAUGAUUGUGAAUACCUAAUAAAUAUCAAUGUAGAGAUGAAGAUAUGAAAUUUGUUUAUCUCAAAUGUAGUACAGUACAGGUCAAAGAAGGUUAUGAAAAUGGCGUCGGUAAUGUUUACCUCUUGAAUGGAAGGAAGUUUUCCGAUAGAUUUAUUAUAUUUUUAUUUGAUACUAAUAAAAUUGCUAAACAAAUUAGAAUUUACCGAUAAAUUGAACGUUCACACUAGGAUACCAUUUAUAACAUCAUGCUUUUGACCAGAGACAUAAAAAUAAAUGUCUCUGAUUUGACUGAUCUGUGAUAAAAUUCAUUUUUGUUCACACAGGUUGCAAGCCCAAUUCUGUAAAAUGGAUGUACUGGUUAGCUUGAAGCACGACGGGAAGCUUAGUGACUAUGUGAACAAGGCCUAUGCGGCCAAACAUUUGUGUGAUGUCAAGGUUGUGACAGGAGACCAGUCCACGUUUUACACACAUCGACUUGUCCUGUCUGCUUUCUCAGAGUUCUUCCAGCGGAAAAUCAGCGGACAGCAGGAAUCCCACAACAUGGUGAUUCCCAUUGGUGAGGUUUUGUUUGCGGGGAAGGGAGGGAUUGGUCCUGGGCCUUUUUGUUACUAUACUGUGUAAUUUUAACAAGUUCAAAUGGCAUUAGUGGGCCCUGCAGACUCCUCUACCUUUUGCAUCAGCGCGCAUAAAUCACCAUGGAACUUAUUUGUUAGUGUUCAAUAUAUUGAACUUUUGAUUCAAAGACAACAUUUUUGUUGCAGAUGUGGACUCAGCUGUGUUCAAAGUAUUGAUGGAGUUCAUGUACACAGGCCAACUAUCAGUCACCACCGCCGAGAGGAUUGCACUCUAUCACGCUUCAGUGAUUCUAGAAAUGGACACUGCACAGGAACUCUUACAACAAGCCUACAUCUCCAGUGAUUGGCAUGGAAUGAUGACUAAUAAGGUCACCAAAAGUUCAGAAGAUAACGACCUCGAUGUCAAGGUUACAGAGGAAACAGAUGUUAAGGUCACCGUAUCUGACAUUCAAGAAGAAAAAACAUUGGAUGGCGCUACAACGAGCAAUAUGUCAGAAUUAACUACUACAAAAAAGAAAAGAGG